CACCCACUUUGCUUCACUUUCAUGUCCAGAGCUGCUUAGACUGAUUUCUGCAAAGUGCACAGGCAUUUUCAUGCUGAGGAUAAAGGACCAUGAUCGCUUGUCUGGACCCAGAAAAUAUUUCCCAUUUGCUACACAGAUGCCGUCUCAUCCUUCCAGAGUUCAAGACUUCAGCAGAAAAAAAAAUCACCUCAUUAAAGGAAAAUUGUGCCUUAUCCCCACUACUCGAAGAUGCAACCAUCUGCCUGGUCACAGCCACUUUUUUCCUUUUUUUCUCACUCCAUCGUAUGUGUGUGUGGUGGGGCAGGGGAUAAGGGGAAUAAUCUCUCUCCAGUAUAAGAAGGUUGAUUUUCACACAUCAGCCUAAGCCUUUAGAAGAACCCUCAAGUUGAUUGAAUGUGUGGAUAUAGAUCUCACAGAUGUGGAGGGCUGGCUGUGUACACACACAGGGAGAAGACUGUAUGAAGAUACCAGCAAAAGGCAGCCAUCUACAAGCCAAAGAGAGAAGCCUUGGGAUGAACUAAUCCUGCUGAAAUCAUGACCUUGCAUAUUUUGCCUCUAGAAUUGUGAGAAAAUAAAGUUCUGUGCUUUAAGGCACCCUGUCUGUGGUCCCUUGUUAUGGUAGCUUAAGCAAAUAUAUAGGAAAAGUUUGGAGUCUCCUAAAGACUCCCAAAUAUGUUCAGUAAGCUAUCUUCAUAAGAAUUAUAAUAUAUACAUCAUCAUGAAAUAGAUGACAGAUGAGAAAUCAAUCAGAUAAGAACAUUAAGAGUGCUUACUGUGUACCAG
rnacentral:lncRNA from 1 species